rnacentral:rRNA from 1 species
GUGGGGAAUUUUGGACAAUGGGCGAAAGCCUGAUCCAGCAAUGCCGCGUGCAGGAUGAAGGCCCUCGGGUUGUAAACUGCUUUUGUACGGAACGAAAAGCCUGGGGCUAAUAUCCCCGGGUCAUGACGGUACCGUAAGAAUAAGCACCGGCUAACUACGUGCCAGCAGCCGCGGUAAUACGUAGGGUGCAAGCGUUAAUCGGAAUUACUGGGCGUAAAGCGUGCGCAGGGGGUUUUGUAAGACAGUGGUGAAAUCCCCGGGCUCAACCUGGGAACUGCCAUUGUGACUGCAAGGCUAGAGUGCGGCAGAGGGGGAUGGAAUUCCGCGUGUAGCAGUGAAAUGCGUAGAUAUGCGGAGGAACACCGAUGGCGAAGGCAAUCCCCUGGGCCUGCACUGACGCUCAUGCACGAAAGCGUGGGGAGCAAACAGGAUUAGAAACCCCUGUAGUCC